ACUCAUUUUUAUUAGGUUUGUUAAAAAGAACCCCAACUUUCUCUCCCGAUGCGUAGACUGCAUCCCUUCCGUUUCGAGCUCUCUUGUGGGGACCGGCGUACGGCGGCUUAGAUAGUGCUGGCGUCGGUUUCUUGUUGUGUGUAGUGUUGGUUUUUAGGCUUUGCUGUUUUUAUUGGUGUAGAUCUGAGAUUCCCGCUGGUCCUCGUUUGAUUUGUUGAGUUUGAAGUCUUAAAGGGCAGAUAUGCUUCGAUUGGCCAUAUGCAACAGCGUUAGAUCCGGGUUAAGAAAACUUGGAGUCUGGAUUACUAGAAGUGGAUGGAAUCGUUGGGCUUGCCGAGGACAACAUCUAUUAAUCUGAAUCAUUGCUUGCUGCUAUAGGUUUGGUUAAAUGCUUGGAGUUGUCAUAGUCUUUGAGUAGAUGGAUAUGUCUUUUGUUCCUGUUUUAAUUGCAGACUAUAGUAUCUAUCCGUGUGUUCGAUUUAACUUGUAAGUUGCUCCAGAGUGGGUUUUAGCUGUC